GACGUAGGGCGCGAGCGUUGUCCGGAUUUAUUGGGCGUAAAGAGCUCGUAGGCGGCUUGUCGCGUCGUGUGUGAAAUCUCAGGGCUCAACUCUGACAUUGCAUACGAUACGGGCAGGCUUGAGUUCGGUAGGGGAGACUGGAAUUCCCGGUGUAGUGGUGAAAUGCGUAGAUAUCGGGAGGAACACCAGUGGCGAAGGCGACUUCCUGGCCUGUUCUUGACGCUGAGGCGCGAAAGCUAGGGUAGCAAACGGG
rnacentral:rRNA from 1 species